ACUUUUUUUAUCGUAAAUUGCAAAACAAACUUUGUUGAAAAAAAAUGCCUAAAAUUUUUUGGCAUUUAUUAAAUUAAACGAAAUAAAGUUAAAAGAAAGUUAUUUGUAAAACCUGUAUCUAUUGUUUAUCCAUACGUUCCGGAGAACGUUUAUAAAACUCCACAAAUUUAUAUACCUCAAGUGGUAAAAACUAGACCACUCAAGAGUGAUAAUGAAGACAUGUAUAAUAACCAAUUAGAAUAUUAUGGCCAUUUGCCAGAAAUAGAUCACGGUGCCCCAAGAAGACCUAACGGUCUUGUCACAGAGCACCGUGGAAGUGCAUUUAACCAGGAAAUGCACGCCUCCUUCCUUACAGUGACGCAAAAAUGUGUCCAGACCUCGUUUCGAAUCUGGAUCUCCUGCUUAUAAAGAAGGGGCUCUAGCCACUGCGCUACGGCCACACAAUAACUAUCAACAGUUGAGAUACAUAUAUCCAUUUGUAUCUCAACUGUUGAAGGAGUACGAACAGCUGAAAACACAGUUUGAUAACGGAACAGAAGUAAUUCUCAAAAAUCCAUAAAAUCCAUACAAAAAGGCUUUAACCUCUUUGAAAAAUCACUGGAAGCAAGAGCCAUUCAUACUACAGAUACCCAGAAGUAAAUUGUUGAAGGAAAGAUUUUUUUAGUAUCUUCAUUUGUUGUCAUAGGGCACCAUAUUUUUUUAUAAAAUAAUAUUCACAUUUGUUAUUUUGUUC